rnacentral:misc_RNA from 1 species
CAGCCGCGUAAUUCCAGCUCCAAUAGCGUAUAUUAAAGUUGUUGCAGUUAAAAAGCUCGUAGUUGAAUUUCGGGAUCGACGGGUCGGUCGCGCCUCUGGUGUGUACUGGCCCUGUCGGUUUCUCCCUUCUGACGAACCACGAUGUCAUUAAUUUGGUGUCGUGGGAAAUCAGGACUGUUACUUUGAAAAAAUUAGAGUGUUUAAAGCAGGCAUUCGCUUGAAUACAUUAGCAUGGAAUAAUGAAAUAGGACGUUUGAUCUUAUUUUGUUGGUUUCUAAGAUCGACGUAAUGAUUAAUAGGGAUAGUUGGGGGCAUUAGUAUUCAAUUGUCAGAGGUGAAAUUCUUGGAUUUAUUGAAGACUAACUACUGCGAAAGCAUUUGCCAAGGAUGUUUUCAUUAAUCAAGAACGAAAGUUAGGGGAUCGAAGACGAUCAGAUACCGUCGUAGUCUUAACCAUAAACUAUGCCGACUAGGGAUCGGAUGAUGUUAAUUUUUUAAUGACUCAUUCGGCGCCUUACG